rnacentral:rRNA from 1 species
UGCGUAGGCGGUUAAAUAAGUCAGUGGUGAAAGCCCGGAGCUCAACUCCGGAACUGCCAUUGAUACUAUUAAUCUUGAAUACAGUUGAGGUGGGCGGAAUGUGUAGUGUAGCGGUGAAAUGCUUAGAUAUUACACAGAACACCGAUUGCGAAGGCAGCUCGCUAAACUGUUAUUGACGCUGAGGCACGAAAGCGUGGGGAGCGAACAGGAUUAGAUACCCUGGUAGUC